CCGCGGCUCUCGCGAGACUUACAGUGGAGCUGACGGACCGGAGAAGAGAGAAGGGAGCUGCAGGAAAGGUAAGUUACAACUCGCUGCCAGCCUCCAACAGGACCGCCGGACUUGUAAUGAGCCCGGCGGUCCUGGUCUGUAUUAUGCCAAUGUACGUUGCCAUAAUACAGACCUUGACUCGAGUAUAAGUCGAGUGGGGGGUUUUCAGCACAAAAAUAAUGUGCUAAAAAACUUGACUUAUACUCGAGUAUAUACGGUACUUUCAUUUGGUUUGUGUAUAUUGAAGAUUUAAUUGUUAUUACAAUUGCUGAUUUAUUG